AGCGAACAGCCCAAAUAUUGGGAUCAUUCACUGAAGGAAGUAGAAGACGUUGGGGAACAUUGCUUGUAUCUCCAACAACAGUUUGGCUACGACCAUACUUUUCACGAUACUCCUCAGCAAGGCGUUCAGCAUCAACAGAUUGUAGUUCCUGUCUUUGACGGUCAAGUUCACGAUGGCGACGAUCAUCACCGACGUAAUCCGCUCCAACUUCUUCUUCAAUGAAACCAUCUUCACGACCAAUUUCAUCUUCCUCAUCUUCAAGCUCUUCCUCGUCCUCAUCUACUUCUGCUUCAAUAUCAAGGAAUUGGUUGCGGCGGUCAUGGCGAGCCCUUUUUCUUCUACCGCCACCUGAUUCAUCUUCAUCUUCCUCGUCUUCCUCAUCAUCUUCUUCAUCCUCUUCUUCCUCUUCGUUUGCAUCAGCUUCUUCCUCGUUUUCUUCAACAUUAUCCUCAUCUUCUUUUUUGUCAUUGUUAUUUACAUUAUCGACUUCGUUUUCAUUCCCAUCUUCGCCUUUAUUAAUUGUGGUAUCAUUUGGACUUUCGUUAUGGGAAUCCACGGGAGAACUCUGUUUUUCAUUUGUAGUAAUUUUAGCAGCUUCAGAAUCAUCAUUCAGCAAGUCACUUCCAUUGGGGGAUGCACGGGUAGAAUUGAUUUUAACUGAAGCAGCAUCUUGCUCAGCUGCAUCUACCUCAGUCGAAUUUGCAUCUUUAUCAAUAGAUUUCGGAGAAUUCGUAUCCAUUGUGACUUAAAAAAGAGGAAAUAGUACCUAUUCCCUCAAUGCUUUGUUUUUAGACCUUUAAUCUAAUAUAGGCG